GAUGAGCAUGCGUCCCAUUAGCUAGUUGGUAAGGUAACGGCUUACCAAGGCUACGAUGGGUAGGGGUCCUGAGAGGGAGAUCCACCACACUGGUACUGAGACACGGACCAGACUCCUACGGGAGGCAGCAGUGAGGAAUAUUGGACAAUGGGCGCAAGCCUGAUCCAGCCAUGCCGCGUGCAGGAUGACGGUCCUAUGGAUUGUAAACUGCUUUUAUACGAGAAGAAACACUGCUUCGUGAAGCAGCUUGACGGUAUCGUAAGAAUAAGGAUCGGCUAACUCCGUGCCAGCAGCCGCGGUAAUACGGAGGAUCCAAGCGUUAUCCGGAAUCAUUGGGUUUAAAGGGUCCGUAGGCGGUUUAAUAAGUCAGUGGUGAAAGCCCAUCGCUCAACGGUGGAACGGCCAUUGAUACUGUUAAACUUGAAUUAUUAGGAAGUAACUAGAAUAUGUAGUGUAGCGGUGAAAUGCUUAGAGAUUACAUGGAAUACCAAUUGCGAAGGCAGGUUACUACUAAUGGAUUGACGCUGAUGGAC
rnacentral:rRNA from 1 species